rnacentral:rRNA from 1 species
GACGAACGCUGGCGGCGCGCCUAACACAUGCAAGUCGAACGGAGCUUACGUUUUGAAGUUUUCGGAUGGACGAAUGUAAGCUUAGUGGCGGACGGGUGAGUAACACGUGAGCAACCUGCCUUUCAGAGGGGGAUAACAGCCGGAAACGGCUGCUAAUACCGCAUAAUGUUGCGGGGGCACAUGCCCCUGCAACCAAAGGAGCAAUCCGCUGAAAGAUGGGCUCGCGUCCGAUUAGCCAGUUGGCGGGGUAACGGCCCACCAAAGCGACGAUCGGUAGCCGGACUGAGAGGUUGAACGGCCACAUUGGGACUGAGACACGGCCCAG